rnacentral:piRNA from 1 species
UAUACCUACGACCUAGAACUUUCGGUAA